rnacentral:rRNA from 1 species
GAUGAACGCUAGCGGCAGGCUUAAUACAUGCAAGUCGUGGGGCAGCAGGUUUGUAGCAAUACAGAUGCUGGCGACCGGCAAACGGGUGCGGAACACGUACAGAACCUUCCUUUGAGCGGGGAAUAGCCCAGAGAAAUUUGGAUUAAUACCCCAUAGUAUAAUGAAGUGGCAUCACUUUAUUAUUAAAGAUUUAUCACUCGAAGAUGGCUGUGCGGCUGAUUAGGUAGUUGGCGGGGUAAAGGCCCACCAAGCCUGCGAUCAGUAACUGGUGUGAGAGCACGACCAGUCACACGGGCACUGAGACACGGGCCCGACUCCUACGGGAGGCAGCAGUAAGGAAUAUUGGUCAAUGGAGGCAACUCUGAACCAGCCAUGCCGCGUGGAGGAUGAAGGUCCUCUGGAUUGUAAACUUCUUUAUAUGGACGAAAAAAGGCUUUUCUAAGUCGUCUGACGGUACCAUAUGAAUAAGCACCGGCUAACUCCGUGCCAGCAGCCGUACGG